AGGGGUGAGCCACCGGUUAGGCGGCCGGCCUCCAAAGCCGGAGAAAAGCGGGUUCGAUUCCUGCCGCCCCUG
rnacentral:tRNA from 1 species